UACGUAGGGGGCUAGCGUUGUCCGGAAUCAUUGGGCGUAAAGCGCGUGUAGGCGGUCCGGUAAGUCCGCUGUGAAAGUCGAGGGCUCAACCCUCGAAUGCCGGUGGAUACUGUCGGGCUUGAGUACGGGAGAGGCGAGUGGAAUUCCUGGUGUAGCGGUGAAAUGCGCAGAUAUCAGGAGGAACACCGAUGGCGAAGGCAGCU
rnacentral:rRNA from 1 species